GUUUCGGUGCGGGCUGCGAGAGCGGUACCAAAUCGAGUCAAACUCAGAAUACCCGUAGCACACACUGCCAGUCAGACGGUGGGGGAUAAGCUUCAUCGUCGAAAGGGAAACAGCCCAGACCACCAGCUAAGGUCCCCAAGUUAAUGCUAAGUGGGAAAGGAGGUGGGAUUGCAGAGACAACCAGGAGGUUUGCCUAGAAGCAGCCAUCCUUAAAAGAGUGCGUAAUAGCUCACUGGUCAAGCGAUCCUGCGCCGAAAAUGAACGGGACUAAGCAUUACACCGAAGCUGUGGACUUGUACUUGUACAAGUGGUAGAGGAGCGUUCUGUACGAGUUGAAGCGUUAGCGAGAGCAGGCGUGGAUUGUACAGAAGUGAGAAUGUCGGCUUAAGUAGCGAAAAUGUAGGUGAGAAUCCUACACCCCGAAAUCCCAAGGGUUCCUCCGGAAGGCUCGUCCGCGGAGGGUUAGUCGGGACCUAAGGCGAGGCCGAAAGGCGUAGUCGAUGGACAACGGAUUAAUAUUUCCGUACCUGAUUUGGAUUGUGGCGGGGGACGGAGAAGGCUAAGACAGCCGGAUGAUGGUUACCGGUUUAAGCUAUCGAGGUGAUGAGAGACGGCGAAAACGUCUUGAGCUGAGAAGCGAGUACGACCCGUUACGACGGGGAAGUGUCUGAUGUCAGGCUUCCAAGAAAAGCCCGAACCACGUUAAUUCAAAUUGGCCCGUACCCUAAACCGACACAGGUGGGAAGGUAGAGUAUACCCAGGGGCGCGAGAUAACUCUCUCUAAGGAACUCGGCAAAAUGGCCCCGUAACUUC
rnacentral:rRNA from 1 species